CCUACGGGAGGCAGCAGUGAGGAAUAUUGGUCAAUGGGCGCAAGCCUGAACCAGCGACGCCGCGUGCGGGAUGAAGGGGCUUUGCCUCGUAAACCGCUGUCGGGUGGGACGAAAGGUAGCUUUGAGCUACUGGGACGGUACCAUCAAAGGAAGGAUCGGCUAACUACGUGCCAGCAGCCGCGGUAAUACGUAGGAUCCGAGCGUUGUCCGGAGUUACUGGGUGUAAAGGGUGCGUAGGCUGUUCUGUGCGUCAGAGGUGAAAUCCACGAGCUUAACUCGUGGGGUGCCUUUGAUACGGCAGGGCUUGAGUACGAGAGAGGUGCGUGGAAUUCCUGGUGUAGCAGUGAAAUGCGUAGAUAUCAGGAGGAACACCGGUGGCGAAGGCGGCGCACUGGCUCGUAACUGACGCUGAGGCACGAAAGCGUGGGGAUCAAACAGGAUUAGAUACCCUGGUAGUCCACGCCUUAAACGAUGCAUGCUUGGCGUUGGUCUCGCAAGAGAUCAGUGCGUAGUUACGAGAGUAAGACGAGNGCCGAACCGUGGGGUAGGUUACGAGUCGCGAAGGUUAGGUUAACGUUACGAAGUAGAGUUAGACGGNGAGAGAGNGACGACGGACGACGACGGAGGGAGGAG
rnacentral:rRNA from 1 species